rnacentral:rRNA from 1 species
CCCCUAGAUGUUCUGGGCCGCACGCGCGCUACACUGAACAGUUCAACAAGUCUUAACCUUGGCCGAUAGGUCUGGGUAAUCUUUGAACGCUGUUCGUGAUUGGGAUAGACCUUUGCAAUUAUGGGUCUUCAACGAGGAAUUCCUAGUAAACGCAAGUCAUCAGCUUGCAUUGAUUACGUCCCUGCCCUUUGUACACACCGCCCGUCGCACCUACCGAUUGAAUGGUCCGGUGAAAUCUCGGGACGGCGGCUUGGUCGCUUGCGUCCGGCUGCUGAAACUUGAUUAAACCAUAUCAUUUAGAGGAAGGUGAANUCGUAACA